UCCCUGGUGGUCCAGGGGCUAAGGCUCUGUGCUCCCAAUGCAGGCGCCCAGGGUUCAAUCCCUGGUCAGGGAA
rnacentral:tRNA from 1 species